UGGUGGACUUCCUUGAUAUAGAUAACCAGUACAAACAUAAUAUUACAUCGGGUUGAGCCAGAGUGCUCUACAAUAUGUUACAAACUUGUAAACAUGUGGCGGUGGAAUAUGACAGUGGGUGACGGUGAUAUAGCACCGAUACAAUAAAGUAAGUCAAGCGUCAGGGUGAGACUUGACUAUUUUAUUUGUGUAGCGGAAGCACUAGUGGAUGAUACACGUGGUAAACUCCAAAUCCAUAGGUGACUGACUGGGAACACCUUUACGUGUCGGGCUCGCUAGCGCACUCUUCCUCCGCAAGCUCGUCCUCCUCCUGGUCUGGCCAAGACAAUAGCCAGGGACAAGCCUGUGAGUAUGUUGGAAUGUACUCGCAAACAUUAUGAACAAAAGAUAUAACGAAUGCAAAUGCUCAUGAUGGGCUAUGUUAAAUGCACAUGCUGACUGGAUUUAAAUCAUGGCAUGAUAAUGUCAGCUUGGUGUGGAUAAAAUAAUCAUACAAUAGUAGUAACGACCAAGAAGUUAAAAUGGAACAUCGGGCGUUAGACCGCCCGAGAAAUUCCAAGAAAAACGCCAAACGGGUGUCUGAAAGCGACGCCUCACAAGGUCUUUAAAAUAAAUGCCAGACGGGUGUCUAAAAGCGACGCCUCGUAAGGUCUUGAAAAGAAAUGCCAAAUGGAUGUCUAAAAGAGAAUUGGGCGAGACAGGACCGCCCGAGAACUCAAGCGAGGCCAUGAGAGGUCUUCGAAAUAAAACUGAGUACCUGGGUAGUCUAGCCAUCCCAAGUGAUACUCAGAAAUGAAAAUAAAGCUGAGUGCAUGGGUAGUCUAGCCAUCCCAAGUGACACUCAGUAUAGUUGAAUAAGAGAAACGGGUUAGUCCACCACAGCAACAAUAUGCAUAACAAUAAUAUUCAUGACAUCCUCGGUGGUGACCAUAAUUAUCCUGCAAGAUGAAUCAAGCUCAACUUAAUUAUUUUCCUCCAAAGACUGACACUUGGACCGAUACUUGACCCUUCCCAACUAUGCCCUUGACCGUGGACACGGCUAUUCGAAUAGAUGUAACUCUGCAGAGAUUGCGCUCUUUACCCACAUGUAUGGAAUUUCUGUAGCCAAUGUUUAGACCUUGACUAAUUUCCAUUCCGGUUUUUGGGUUUGAAACACACCUGACCAGCACACACCAGAAUAACUUCCCGGAUGCCAGGAAUCACCCAAAGCAUCUUUCAAGAAAAACUCUAAGUCGGGGAGACCAUCGUCUCGAAUUGCAUGGGAUCACUAUUAAUACGCGCGGGUUACAAGGGGUGCGCCCCUCUCGGCCUAGCCGGAUGCACCCAUGCUCCCUGACCCGAUGACUAGCAUUGGCCCAUGGCCGUGGAACCCUCAUCGUGGCCUCUCUAAGUGGUGUGUACACGGAAAGGGGCUAACAACUUACUAAAUCGCACUCCCCUUGCGGGAAGACAAGUGGCAGCACGUUGUGUAGUUAGGCUUAAUGGAAAAAGACUCGAUUCUAGGUCGACUCGGGAGGUGUUGUUAUUAAGACUGGCAUAUCUCUCAUGCCACAAUGACACCGUCGUGUCAUAACACUGCCCGUGCCCAUCGGCACGUCCAAGGCAGGAGAUACACUCCUGGAUUCUUACCAUAUUCACACGUUAGCAAAAUACCUGAUGAAUGCAAUAGUGCUCACAUGACAUGAAAAAGUGUUCAUGCAAUAGUGCUCAAAUUGACAUGACCAAUGCAUGCUUCUACUACUACUAUAUGGUGCAAAACUACUCUGAUGCAACCACGCAGGCAAUUCAUUAUAACCCAAGUCCAAUAAUGCUUGCCUUGACCAAAGUAAUCAGCAAGAGUUUCUUCAAAACUCCCGGUAUAGGCCCCCUCUUCGUUUUCUGAAAAUUAAAGUCCAAAUUCAAUUUUUUGCAAUGGUACAAAAUGUUGUCUCAAAAUAUUUUUCAUUAAAUAUUAAAGUAAACUAGAGUGAAAAACAAGAAUUUCAGAAAAAGAAUCAGUUGAAACUGAUAUGUGGUUUAAAAGUUAUUGAGGAUUUAAAAACAGGGACCUCUCUAUAAAUAAAGUAACUGCCAGAGGGUCCCUGUGGUAAUAACUGAAAGCGCCUCGGAUAGGAAUACGCUUCCUGGAGAAGAAAGCGUAAAGAGGCAAACGACGCUUUCGAAAAUAACAAAAAAGAACAUAAUACUAACGGGUGGGCCCCACCCGUCAGGUUUGAAAUCCAAACACGCUCUCCGCACGCGUAUGUAGAGGGGAUGCGGUGGUCACCGGCGGCGAUCACCGGCGUUUCAGGAGGCGGCGAUGGUCGGGAUGUGUUCGGGGUGGCACCCCGCGUCGGUGGAUGGUGGUGGUCAUCAUCGGCGAGCACCAGAACGACGGGGAGGUCGUCUCCGGUGGACGGUGGCGUCGGGUGGUUGUGGGACUCACCGGAGAGGGCUCCUUGCGUCGAAUUGAAGCGUGGGAUCGACUAUUGGAUGUGUUUAGAGGCUAUUGGUGGAGUUUUGGAGGUGGAGGUGGAGUAACGGCGUCGAGCUGAUCGGGGAGGGUGCCGGGGAAGAAGACCUUCCCGAGGUCGAGGUGGUGUGCGGCUGGUCGAUUGGGAUGGUGGUGGAGUGGUGU
rnacentral:lncRNA from 1 species